UGCUGCAAUACAUAGUACAUAAAACCGAUGCAGCAUUGCCAUCUUUUUGUAUUGUAAGGCUAAAGACGCAGCAAAAAGUUAUACUAAAAUGCCAAAAGUUCAGUAUAAAUAAAAAUCUCGAGACACUUGGCUUCGCGAUCCGUUGUUCAAGGAUUGGAUGUCAAUUGAUCCAAAUGACGGGACAUACAAAAACCAAGAAGCAUAAGGCGGCAACGAGUUGCUUUACUCAAAAAAAUAAAAUUGUGUUUACACCAAAUGUGCUUCCUAAAACGAAGCAAAGAAGCAGCCUUAUGUUUGUAUAUUGCAUCCCAUUCUGCUAUUUCACCCAUCGAUCACAUGGAUAUAUUGUGCGCCACAAAAUUUGAUGGCGACAAAGUCAAAGUGGAAAUAGAGAUUCGAUUUAGGUGCACGGAGUUUAUAAUUUGACGUAUAGAUGAGCUUAAACAGAGAUUACCCAAAAACUUCCAAAUUCUUCAGCAAAUCGACAUUUUUUCUGUUGAGAAAAUUGUAAAACUAGAAGCGUUUCAAACUUCUAGAGCGUUUCAAACUGCCUGUCUCUGAGAUUGAACAGGUCGUUCUACAAUAUAACAACAUACAUCUGUUAAAAUGGGAAAAUACGGCUUGCACUGUAAAAUUUUGGGCAGAGGCAAACAAUUAUGUGGAUUCGGAAGGCAAUCACCGAUUUAAAGCGUUCGUUUUUUACUUACUAUCGCUGCCGUGGUCAAACGCGGAAGUCGAACGUGUGUCAGAUUAGUCAGAUGUACAUUGUAAAAUCGAAGCCAGAAAACUCAAUAAACAUUGACACAAUUAAUUCGAUUUUACACAUACAUUAUGGAUUGCGACGGUAUAACAAAUGUCACAACUUUGAAGUGCCUCAAAAGUACUUAAAUAUUAUUGGAACAAAUAACUCGUACACUGCUGAGGAAAAUAUGGAGUUCAUUGAACUGGAUAAUUGCCUUUCAAUUUUCAAAUAG